AGACUGGGAUAACUCCGGGAAACCGGGGCUAAUACCGGAUAACAUUUUGAACUGCAUGGUUCGAAAUUGAAAGGCGGCUUCGGCUGUCACUUAUGGAUGGACCCGCGUCGCAUUAGCUAGUUGGUGAGGUAACGGCUCACCAAGGCAACGAUGCGUAGCCGACCUGAGAGGGUGAUCGGCCACACUGGGACUGAGACACGGCCCAGACUCCUACGGGAGGCAGCAGUAGGGAAUCUUCCGCAAUGGACGAAAGUCUGACGGAGCAACGCCGCGUGAGUGAUGAAGGCUUUCGGGUCGUAAAACUCUGUUGUUAGGGAAGAACAAGUGCUAGUUGAAUAAGCUGGCACCUUGACGGUACCUAACCAGAAAGCCACGGCUAACUACGUGCCAGCAGCCGCGGUAAUACGUAGGUGGCAAGCGUUAUCCGGAAUUAUUGGGCGUAAAGCGCGCGCAGGUGGUUUCUUAAGUCUGAUGUGAAAGCCCACGGCUCAACCGUGGAGGGUCAUUGGAAACUGGGAGACUUGAGUGCAGAAGAGGAAAGUGGAAUUCCAUGUGUAGCGGUGAAAUGCGUAGAGAUAUGGAGGAACACCAGUGGC
rnacentral:rRNA from 1 species